GUGGACAACUCAACAAUGACUUUCAUCUUCAUCUUCCUCUGGACACUUGUCCUCUGCUUACAGAAGUCCUAUGGACAGGUCACUGUGACUCAGACUCCUGCAGUGAAAGCUGUUCAACAGGGAGGAUCAGUCACUCUGAACUGUAGAACCAGCAGUGAUGUGUAUAAUGCAGGGUCAUCAUUUCCUGAAUUAGCCUGGUACCAACAGAAACCUGGAGCAGCUCCUAAACUCCUGAUCUAUUACGCCAAAACACUUCAGUCUGGGACUCCAUCCAGAUUCAGUGGCAGUGGAACUCACAGUGACUUCACUCUGACCAUCAGUAAUGUCCAGGAUGAGGAUGCAGGAGUUUACUACUGUCAGAGUUACCAUAGUGGUGGUGUGUGGACUUUUGGUGGAGGCACAAGACUUGAUGUUGGAAGUGACACCCGUCCCAAACUCACAGUCCUGCCCCCCCUGCACACCAGCGGGACUUCAGCCACGGUGAUGUGCCUGGCUAACGGAGGCUUCCCGUCCGACUGGGCGCUGAGCUGGAAGGUAGCGGGGAGCAGCAGGAGCGGGGACACCAGUGUCUUUGGCCCACAGAAGGACGGCCUGUACAGCUGGAGCAGCACCCUGACCCUCCCUCUCCAGGAAUGGGACCAGGGGCACGCAGUGACCUGCGAGGCAAAGCAGGGCUCCCAGACCGUCACUGAGAUCCUGAAGAAAUCAGACUGCUCCUAGAGUCUCCUCUGUGACUGUCUUUCUUGAUCAUCUGAAAUAUGUGUAGCGUUGAACCUUUCAUGUGUUUCAAAAAAGUACUAAUAAAGGAGUUUGAUGAUAAGAGA